rnacentral:rRNA from 1 species
GUAUAUGAGGUGAUUAAUUGGAGGGCAAAUCAAGUGCCAGCAGCCGCGGUAAUACUUGUUCCAAGAGUGUGUAUGAUGAUUGAUGCAGUUAAAAAGUCCGUAGUUUAUUUUUUUAAGAAGCAAUAUGAGGUGUACUGUAUAGUUGGGAGAAAGAUGAAAUGUGACGACCCUGACUGGACGAACAGAAGCGAAAGCUGUACACUUGUAUGUAUUUUUUGAACAAGGACGUAAGCUGGAGGAGCGAAGAUGAUUAGAUACCAUUGUAGUUCCAGCAGUAAACCAUGCCGACGAUGUGAUAUCGAAAUGUUAAUUUGUAUUGCAUAAUAGAAAUUUGAGUUUUUUGGCUCUGGGGAUAGUAUGAUCGCAAGAUUGAAAAUUAAAGAAGUUGACGGAAGAAUACCACAAGGAGUGGAUUGUGCGGCUUAAUUUGACUCAACGCGAGGUAACUUACCAAUAUUUUAUUAUUUUGAGAGAACGGUUUUUUGUUUGAGAAUGAUAAUAGUGGUGCAUGGCCGUUUUCAAUGGAUGCUGUGAAGUUUUGAUUAAUUUCAACAAGACGUGAGACCCUUAUUUUUUAUUAAAGACAGACACAAUCAGUGUAGUAAGGAAAGGAUUAAAACAGGCCCGUUAUGCCCUCUGACAUUUUGGGCUGCACGCGCAAUACAAUAGAUAUA